CCAUCUGACCGCCAGGCCCACGCCCACCGGCCGCCCUGCUUCAUCACAACAUCUCUAACUCAGCGUUUUUUUUCUUGUUGCUUGUUUGUUGUGCUGGAGGAUGUGCGCAAGCCAAUUGACCCCGUAAGUCGAAAAGUGAUGAGCUUCACCAAUGGGACAUUGGGACAACUCUGACAUAAAUAGUUGACUCCAGAGAAUAUCAGGUGUCAAUUAAGGGUAAGGCUUUUAUUCUUAAGGUCUACCAAGAGGACUGCUAAAGUAUGACAUGAAUAGUUGACUACAGAGCGAUGAGGUGUCAAUUGAAGUAAUCAGCACUACCUAGGGUGCGCACCUGUUGGCAAUCAGCCUCCAUCAUCACCUGCAUUUAAGCCUGCCAGAUCCAAGACUGCACUGUCAGAGUAUUAACGUUCACCCGUGCCAUCGACCUGCUCACGCCACCGCCCGCUUCCUGUAUCGACGACCCACCAGUAUGCCUCAAGGAUCCCCCUCUGACUCCCUUCACAAUAAACCAUUCUCCAC